CACUCCUACGGGAGGCAGCAGUGGGGAAUUUUGGACAAUGGGCGAAAGCCUGAUCCAGCAAUGCCGCGUGAGUGAAGAAGGCCUUCGGGUUGUAAAGCUCUUUUGUCAGGGAAGAAACGGUGAGAGCUAAUAUCUCUUGCUAAUGACGGUACCUGAAGAAUAAGCACCGGCUAACUACGUGCCAGCAGCCGCGGUAAUACGUAGGGUGCAAGCGUUAAUCGGAAUUACUGGGCGUAAAGCGUGCGCAGGCGGUUUUGUAAGUCUGAUGUGAAAUCCCCGGGCUCAACCUGGGAAUUGCAUUGGAGACUGCAAGGCUAGAAUCUGGCAGAGGGGGGUAGAAUUCCACGUGUAGCAGUGAAAUGCGUAGAUAUGUGGAGGAACACCGAUGGCGAAGGCAGCCCCCUGGGUCAAGAUUGACGCUCAUGCACGAAAGCGUGGGGAGCAAACAGGAUUAGAAACCCCUGUAGUCCCAUG
rnacentral:rRNA from 1 species